AUCGACGUAUUCCACUUGGCAGAUGUAUAUGAAAAUAGGUAAGAGAAGCGUAGUUAUGUCGCCUGUUGGAUACGUAUAUUACAAACGACUAAAGUAUUUUAAAUAAUUUUCAACACCCCAAAACAUAGCCUGUGUAAAUCUUCUAAUUUUUUCGUUCUUUUUCUGCCACCUUUCCUUUCCGUUCGUAGACUUUAAGUCGACUCCCCACCUCGAAGUGCCGUCUCACAAAGACGGCGCGGAAAUUGGAUGCGUGGGAUAUUUUCUCACCUAAGCAAACAGUCCCUCGGCCUUGGGUAACGGCCGAAAGCGAGACACCCUUAAUUCCCCUAAUUCCGACCGGGGACGACCGGGGACGAAGCCGACUCUCCCUUGCAUCUAGGAGACGAAGGCAAAACAACCGAGCACGGGAUCUCCGUCAGCCUCUUUCUCCUCCAUGACGCACACAUGCCGGACCAACCAUUGCAUUCACGCGUGACGGUUUUGGCCCUCUAGCCGAUCCCGGAGAGAAACCCAGAGUGCAGCCAGUCAUGCCGAUGCGCUUAUCGACCCUCGGGAAAUCCCAUCAUCAAUCACUUUCUUCAACUCCAGUAAGGUGUGUCCGCCUUUGUUGACCUGACGUGACGGCUGAGACGAUCGCAGUAGGCCGAAAAUUUAUACUUCUUAUUAAUUUUAUUACCAGAUAGUCGUGCAUUGAGUAAUUAUUAAAUUAUUAGUUUUCUAAGGUAUGAUCGUCUUUUUAUAUGUACAAAAAUACCGGUAUUGUAAACAAUCGCUUACAGAUAUCGAUGGUUCGAUUCCAAUCGCUUGAAAAUUAUUUCGAAAAACUAGUAAAUUUGUUCGGUUUCACUCUAUACGAUGGAUCACUUUGUUCGAAAGACUUUUUUCUGCCAACACCGAGACACUUUUUAUUACCAUGUUAUGGUAUGGUUGAAUAUUUCGUCUUUCAAUAUUACACUAACGUUGAUUGUGAUCAACGAUUAGCAAUAUUGAAUUGAAUACUGAAAAGGAAUUUGUUUCAGCUACUUUCCAGUAGGAAAUACUUUUCUGAAUUAAAUGAGUCAGGAUAUGAGUGAAAUCGAACAAACCUACUAGACUUUUAACUAUUUUUUAACGAUUUUAAAUAAAUCAUCGGCAUCAAUGGCUUUUGUUCAUGCUUCCAGUAUAUUCUAUUCUUGUAUUUUUGCCGAGAUCUUCGUAAUUUACGAUAUAACAAUUUGACAAGUGCUUAAUGUACAACUAACUCAUGAUAAAAUUAAUAAAAAGUAUCGAUUUUCGGUCAGCCAAUCAUAA